rnacentral:rRNA from 1 species
GAUGAACGCUAGCGGCAGGCCUAAUACAUGCAAGUCGCGUGGCAGCGGGGUAGCAAUACUGCCGGCGACCGGCGCACGGGUGCGUAACACGUAUGCAACCUACCUUAAACUGGUAGAUACCCCUGGGAAACGCGUCUUAAUACCACAUAAUACAUUUGGUUCACAAGAAUUGAUUGUUAAAGACUUAUCGGUUUAAGAUGGGCAUGCGCUCGAUUAGCUAGUUGGUAAGGUAACGGCUUACCAAGGCUACGAUCGAUAGGGAGUCUGAGAGGAUGAUCCCCCACACUGGUACUGAGAUACGGACCAGACUCCUACGGGGAGCAGCAGUAGGGAAUAUUGGUCAAUGGAGGCAACUCUGAACCAGCCAUGCCGCGUGUAGGAAGAAGGCGUUCUGCGUUGUAAACUACUUUUGAUUGGGAACAAAUGACUCUUGCGAGAGUAGCUGAGUGUACCAAUAGAAUAAGCCACGGCUAACUACGUGCCAGCCGCCGCGGUAA